rnacentral:rRNA from 1 species
GGCUCAGGACGAACGCUGGCGGCAUGCCUAACACAUGCAAGUCGAACGGAGUAAUGACUUCGGUUAUUACUUAGUGGCGAACGGGUGAGUAACACGUGAAUAAUCUGCCCUGUACGAUGGGAUAACAGCUGGAAACGGCUGCUAAUACCGUAUAUGACCACGCCGAGGCAUCUCGGAGGGGUGAAAGCGCUUAAGCGGUACAGGAUGAGUUCGCGUCCAAUUAGCUAGUUGGUGAGGUAACGGCCCACCAAGGCGACGAUUGGUAGCCGACCUGAGAGGGUGAUCGGCCACACUGGAACUGAGACACGGUCCAGACUCCUACGGGAGGCAGCAGUGGGGAAUAUUGGGCAAUGGAGGAAACUCUUACCCAAGCAAUGCCGCGUGAGUGAUGAAGGUCUUCGGAUUGUAAAGCUCUUUGAUUGGGGACGAAUAAAUGACGGUACCCAAGGAACAAGCCCCGGCUAACUAUGUGCCAGCCGCCGC